rnacentral:tRNA from 2 species
CGCAGGGUGGAGCAGUUUGGUAGCUCGUCGGGCUCAUAACCCGAAGGUCGUAGGUUCAAAUCCUACCCCUGCUA